UACGUAGGGUGCGAGCGUUAAUCGGAAUUACUGGGCGUAAAGCGUGCGCAGGCGGUUUGUUAAGACAGGUGUGAAAUCCCCGGGCUUAACCUGGGAAUGGUGCUUGUUACUGGCAGGCUAGAGUGUGUCAGAGGGAGGUAGAAUUCCACGUGUAGCAGUGAAAUGCGUAGAGAUGUGGAGGAAUACCGAUGGCGAAGGCAGCCUCCUGGGAUAACACUGACGCUCAUGCACGAAAGCGUGGGGAGCAAACAGG
rnacentral:rRNA from 1 species